GUGGGGAAUAUUGGACAAUGGGCGAAAGCCUGAUCCAGCCAUGCCGCGUGUGUGAAGAAGGUCUUCGGAUUGUAAAGCACUUUAAGUUGGGAGGAAGGGCAGUAAGUUAAUACCUUGCUGUUUUGACGUUACCGACAGAAUAAGCACCGGCUAACUUCGUGCCAGCAGCCGCGGUAAUACGAAGGGUGCAAGCGUUAAUCGGAAUUACUGGGCGUAAAGCGCGCGUAGGUGGUUUUGUAAGUUGGAGGUGAAAUCCCCGGGCUCAACCUGGGAACUGCCUCCAAAACUGCAUGACUAGAGUACGGUAGAGGGUAGUGGAAUUUCCUGUGUAGCGGUGAAAUGCGUAGAUAUAGGAAGGAACAACAGUGGCGAAGGCGACUACCUGGACUGAUACUGACACUGAGGUGCGAAAGCGUGGGGAGCAAACAGGAUUAGAUACCCCUGUAGUCC
rnacentral:rRNA from 1 species